rnacentral:rRNA from 1 species
UACGAAGGGGGCUAGCGUUGUUCGGAUUUACUGGGCGUAAAGCGCACGUAGGCGGACUCUUAAGUCGGUGGUGAAAUCCUGGAGCUCAACUCCAGAACUGCCUUCGAUACUGAGAGUCUUGAGUCCGGGAGAGGUGAGUGGAACUGCGAGUGUAGAGGUGAAAUUCGUAGAUAUUCGCAAGAACACCAGUGGCGAAGGCGGCUCACUGGCCCGGUACUGACGCUGAGGUGCGAAAGCGUGGGGAGCAAACAGG